AUUUUCCCAGCAUAAAAUCAGCCUGUGCAAAAUCCCACUUAAUUGUUCAGCUGGACUUCACAGGUGAAGUGAAGAAACUUUAUCUGCUAUGCCUAAACUGAAUGUCAAAACCAAACACCAGGCUGCAAUGUACUCAGCACUCCUCUUUGAAAGAAGUUUUUAUUGACUUUUCUGCCUCACUCCUUCUUUGUUUCUCCCCCCGCUUUCAACACAGUACUAAAGUGCAGCAGCAGCUCUGCUUUACUGUCGAACCUGGCAAUGAGAAAGAUUUUGUAGCCAGUAAGUCUGAUGCCUUCCCUAAGCCAGAGAGCAAGUUCAGGCUCUUCAAUCUGAAUUCUUCUGAGCUAAGAAGGUGCUGAUCAGUGUUCACUCGUUACCUGAUGGGAGUCUGAAAAGUCCCAGGGGAAUGUUUAAGUGACUGAAAGCAGUGGAGCGUUCCUGUCACAGGAGAGGAGCGAAUGAUGUGGAACAGACAGAAAAGAGCAGAUCUGCUGAAGGGUAGGCAAGGUCAGUCUCUGAAAUGAUGGAUAUUCAAUCAUGCCAUGCCUGAACACAAGUGUAAGUGACCCAUGACAAAUGUCCCAAAGGACAUUUGCUGGCGCUCACCUAGGACAGCUGAAAUUUCCCAAAGAAUAUCAAAAAAUAUCAGUUUGGGAAGUCCAAACAAAACCAAAAAGAUGUUCAUCUCUACAUGAGAGAAAUAAUACUUGAAGUAAAAAUGCACAAAUGGAAGAGCCUAUCUCAGGUCCAAUGAAACACGAAAGUGAUGGGGUUUUGUUUGUGUUUGUUUUUCAAAUCAGAUAACAAAAUACAAAUCAGUGAAAGAGAAGUCAUUCUAUAGAUGUGUUGUAUAUUAAAACCUUUAAGGAACCGUAUAACAUCACUAAGGGCAGCUUAUAUGGAGCACUGCAGGGCCUGUGAAAUUCUGCCUGUCACCAGGCUUCAGCAAGAUUUAAGCCAUCAGAGUCUCUGUGAGGAGGGACCAGCCUGCUGGAGCAAACAAACCUCUUUCCACAGCUGUGGUCAGCAGGGUUUCCUCUUUGCCAUUUCCCCCCAGUAUGGGGUCCAAGGCUGUUUAGCGUGAGGUUUCUGAGACUGCCUUGGUUUAGUGAUGCUCUAAGCUGGGGCCUACAAAAGAGAGCUGGGCCCUGCUUUUGUUCUACGGGGGCUUCAGAAGGGUUUCCCACAGCUCCAAAAGGACACUGCGUGACAUUCAUCUGCCUGAUCUACCCCUUGGAAACCAGCGUGCUGGCUUGAUAGCAUGGUGUCUUGGGCUUCACUUGUCCACUGCAUUGUUAAAAACUUGUUUGAGUUCCUUACAGCCUUGUAGGCGUUCCCGUCCUUUAAAUAACAUUAAUAAAUACAUUUUCAGAAAAUCAAUAUAACAUCAAGCUGUAAUAGUCUAACCUAGCCCAUCAGAUAAAUAACACAGGUUGCAUAAUUAUUGGUUGCCUAAAAAUUGCUCAGCCUGGUCUUUGCUACAAAGGGAGAUAAAAAUUACUUGUCAAACACAAAAUCUGAACAAGCUGACCAAUGUCUGCAUCAAGUAAAAUAUUCAUGUCAGCUUUAUAAUAUCUAAUAGAAUUAUAUCAAAUUGGUGUUUUUCUGUUGUGUGAAAAGGACCCUUUAUGAAAUUGUGCCUGUGCACCAUUUUAAUCUGAAUGACAAGCAGCACUGCCCGGCUUUGAAGUGAUUUCUCCAACCUCCCACACCUGGUUGGUAUUUGGAGCCUUUGGUUAUGUUCAUGGUGUCACCACGGAGUACAAGAUGGUGAUUUGCAAAAGAA